AUUGAACGCUGGCGGCAUGCCUUACACAUGCAAGUCGAACGGUAACAGGCCGCAAGGUGCUGACGAGUGGCGAACGGGUGAGUAAUGCAUCGGAACGUGCCCAGUCGUGGGGGAUAACUGCUCGAAAGAGCAGCUAAUAACGAAUACGACCUGAGGGUGAAAGCGGGGGACAGAAAGGCCUGGCGCGAUUGGAGCGGCCGAUGUCAGAUUAGGUAGUUGGUGGGGUAAAGGCCUACCAAGCCGACGAUCUGUAGUUGGUCUGAGAGGACGGCCAGCCACACUGGGACUGAGACACGGCCCAGACUCCUACGGGAGGCAGCAGUGGGGAAUUUUGGACAAUGGGGGCAACCCUGAUCCAGCAAUGCCGCGUGCAGGAAGAAGGCCUUCGGGUUGUAAACUGCUUUUGUCAGGGAAGAAAUCCUGUGGGUUAAUACCUCGUGGGGAUGACGGUACCUGAAGAAUAAGCACCGGCUAACUACGUGCCAGCAGCCGCCGUAAUAC
rnacentral:rRNA from 1 species